UCCUGGCUGCCUCAGUCGGUAGAGUAUGAAACUCUUGAUCUCAGGGUCAUGAGUUCAAGCCCCAUGUUGGGUG
rnacentral:tRNA from 1 species